rnacentral:lncRNA from 1 species
UAAAAAUCAGGUUACUUUUGCUGGGGAAAAAGAACCCGCAAUUAUGCAGUAGCUGAGGCAAUUGAAAGAUCUGGUGAGCUUGUGUCAAUGUGGGACCCCAAUCUUUUUGAUGUUAUCAAAUUAAAGGAAGAAAUUAUAUUGUUGCAAGUAACUGAGAUAUGGAAAACCUGCAACACAAUACGUCACCUCAUCAUUUAGUUGAUUCUUUUUUACUUAAGUUGACAUCAUCCCAUAGUUUUAGCAUAAUAUAUAAUAUUCUCAAUUUCAUUACUUAACAUUGCCUAAUUCACUCAAAUCACCAUUACCCAUUUUAAUCGAGAAAUUGACAAAAUUAGGUCAGGAAACACAAUCUCAACUUAACUUUCUUCUAAGUUAGUUCUAUGUCUUGAUUUAGCUUACAUCCCAACAACUAAUCAUCUUACAACCAUUAAUUUAACACAACUUAAGCAAACUUUACAUAUAUAAUCAACGUACCUCGACUAAUAAAUCGGCUCCCAGUUCAACCCAGAAUGAUUUCUCCUCAAUAUUACAAGUCAUAUACUUAAAUCGACUGUACUAUGAUUUUCAAUUCACUGAUUUACUUCAUGAAUUCUCCUUCUUCCAUCUUUCGCUUUACUUGAACUUGCUCGUU